UAGCCUAGCAUGAAGCUAGGAGGCAAGUAGAAACAGCUAGCACGGUUCUGGUUGUAUUGCAGUCAAGACCACAGUAACCAAGACAACCGAGACAAGACCAAGGCCAAGGUAGGUCAAGGCCGAGACAUUUAGGGAUCGGGACCGAGACAAGACCGAGGCCAAGGUAGGGCAGACCGAGAUAUUUAGGGAUCGGGACCGAGACAAGACCGAGGCCAAGGCAGAUCAAGGCCGAGACAUUGAGGGAUUGGGACCGAGUCAAGACCAAGGCCAAGGCAGAUCAAGGCUGAGACAUUUAGGGAUCAGGACCGAGACAAGACCAAGGCCAAGGCAGAUCAAGACAGGGACAUUUAGGAAUCAGGACCGAGACAAGACCAAGACCAAGGCAGAUCAAGACAGGGACAUUUAGGAAUCAAGACCGAGUCGCGCAGUUAGACUGUAACACAGGGAAGGUUGCAGCUGUAACUGGGAGAAAAAAACUGAUUAUGAAUGACUGAAGUUAAUUGUUCU